UGGUGUAAAUUAACAUACUUUAUUCUGUAUGUGCAAUUUUAUUUUGUAAUUUGUAAUUUACACAGUAUGUUAAGUACAUUUGUAUUUCAACGUAAUUUAUUGUAUGAAUAUUAUCUUGAUUGGUAUUGAUUUUUUAAGCGUAUCUAUUAUCAUAAUUAAUUCCAACGAAUAGAACAGGAAAUGUAGCAGUAAAAUUUACGCGUGUAUGUUAAUACUGCGCUUUGCUAUAAAAUACCAUCAAGUCCGCACACGAACAACUUUCUGUUUGUGUAACCGAAGCGAGCCACGAUUAAGCCUGAUAUAUUGCUAUUUAUAUAUCAGCAAAGUCUAAUCUAAUAGCGUGCAAAUAUAUCUUAAGACAAUUCAGUGCAUAAACCAACAACGUUAUCGGCUAAACAUGAUAGAAUUCCGUGUACAUACAAUCUUCUGAGCGAAGAAAAGCAAGCAUUAUUUCAGGAUUAUUAACGACUUUAAGCCGCCAUUAGAAUAUUCUGUGUUUUUCUUGCAAUCUACGACAUGUAGGAUGAUUUACAAUCGCCUAUUGAAAUCUCGAGAAUUGCCUUGAUUACUUUAAAUUCGUUCUAAACAAUCACGUAAGUAUCGAAUGAAUUAUCAUAACUUAACACAUAUCGAAUGAUAUAUUUUUAUCGUUCAUUACUGUCGUAUUAAGUCAUAAAACGGAAUUGAACGAUCAGAUUACUAAACGUCACUGCGAUAUUUUCUUCAAUUCGUUAAAACUCGAGAAGCAAACGCCUGAAGUAUUGACACGCAAUUAAGAUUCGUUCGGCGUAAAACGGACAAGGCUUGAUUUAUUACAAAAUGCAAGAAACGGGGAAAAAAUAUGUAGUCGGAUUAAAAUUGAUCGAUCAACACGUUCCGGAACCCGUUCAUUACUUAUUUCAGACGUCUAACGAGAUCUUAUUGAUCGUAAAGUUAGGACAGUUAAUUGUCAUUCACUUUGCUUGAACUUUAAAUGAAGCUUCAGCCGAGGUUCCCAUUGUUUUCGAGCAUGAAGCUCGAGUAUCACUGUCGGUUAUCGCGAACCUGGCAUCGAGAUAAGUUUCCCUGUUGCAAAGGAAUGGGGACUGACGCAUAAGCGUGGGUAGAGCGAAACUCAAUAAUUAUGCCAUAGCUAGAGAACGAAUUAUCUAGCUGUGUUUUCUUGACGUGCAGUUCCAUUAGAAGAGGCGAACGGCUCGUUAAGAAAGUUUUCAUUUCCACGACGUGCACUCAAGACUGCAUUCGAUUGUCUGUCCUCGUGUUCGUUCUACUGAAUGAACUUUAAACAGCUUAUUCCCACCUCCAACUUUGUUUCUGAAAUCAUCCACGUCACUGCAAAUAUUGACUAUCGCGUUAUUCACUUUCCUAAAACCAGUUCCUAAUUUGUCGAUGUUUAAACUGGUAACUUUGGAAACGAGAUUUGUCUUCGAUUUCUACACUAGACGUUACGGCGUUGGUCGCUACUUCUACUUUCUACUGGAUUAGGUGCAUGAAUGUAAUCAAACAAUUAAACACCAACUACUUGCCAACAUAGCCACCAAGUCCAUGUAAUCUACGAACAGAAUCCGAGUAACAACCUAAUUUAAGUCGUUUAAGGCCAGGUCGUUCGGUAUGUCGUUGGAAAGAACGAUAGGUAAGAAUGUGGAAUCCAAUCAAUCAUUAUCGUUAAUCCAUCGUCUACGUUCGAGAAGGAGAUCGGUUGUUUGCAGGCCUGGCGUGGCUUAAGGAUUGCACUAAGGGCUGAGGAUGUGCGGUCUGAGUCUUAGAGCAAUGGAGGGUGCGGCUGCCUGUAGCAUGAUCCUCCCUAAGCCGAGGCUAAGAGGCUAUUAGUUAGCUCUGCGAGCAGCGACGUAACCCCAAAGACUAACACGGUACUUACACCUUCCUGCUUCGUAGAGAUCGCAAGAUAUUCAACCAACUAGUUCCUAUAGUAUGUUUGCACAUGGAAGGUGAAACUGGCGAUAUUCGGAGAAUAGCGCCGCCGCGCAAGAUCAACGAUAAGAAAUUAAUAUUAUAACAAACUUCACGAGCAUCGGUUCCACCAUUCGCCGCCAAGCAAUUAGAGAUACAAUCAACUGUUCCCGGAUUACAUGUAAAUGAAGUCUCAACGGAAGUACUUGAUCGAAUUAGAUAGAUUAAUUCAAAGAGAAAGCAAAAAAAAAAAAGAAAAAGAAAAUCGGAAUAGUGAUUCGGCGUAAUUUCCUUCGCAAUUUUCUUUUUCCGUAUCAGGUUCUAAGAAGUCGCCGGAUUUUGAAGAAGAAGAGACUAAUCGGAUAAAAAUUACAGGAAUUAUUCACACGAUUUAGCAAAGAAUUUCCUAUUUUAUUCGUGUUAGGUAUAAAUUACAUGAAAAUGGAAUGUAUUUUGGAUAGGAUGAACAUUAUUAUGAGUGGACAAAUUAUCGAGGAGCUACGCAUUAUGCACAAACCCCGUAGAAGUCCAUCGUAAGCAUCUAAUCUUGCCCUUUGACCCUUCUCCCCGUAGCGUUUAGCCCAUAUACCGCUUCGUACAUCAGGAAAUCUCCGCAAAGCCGAUUAGUAGUCAGAGCACGUCCGUUAUUAGCCAUUCGGCCGGAUGUGGUCUAAAACUACUAAAAUCUGAAUCGAUCUCAACGAUCUAGAACGACCCUCCUUACUAAUUUAUAGAGCGUCACAAGCAUUGUAACAGACAGAAACUUUUUCCUCGGGCAGCUUACCAAAUUUUAAUGGAAUUUUACAAACUAAUUAAAGAUUCAAUUAUAGAAUAAUUAGAAAAUUAUGUCGUUAAGAAAAUGUCUAGUAUCAUUUCAUCAUUAAAAAAUAAUUAUCGCAUUAUCUGCUUAUGAAUCGUGAAAUGGCAUAAUGCCACAAAGGUGAGACGAGAAAAAGAAGAGUAGAGAAAACGAUGAAAAUACGAAUGAGGCUAAACCUAGAUUAGGUAAACAAAUUUCCCAUUAUAUACAUAUUCUAGACAAUCAUAGUAGACUCGGGUUCCGUAAAAAAUAAAGUCCAAAUGGCGCAAAAUAAAUGCCGAAAUGGCUAGCUCGCGUGCAACUGCAAAUGGAUCUGAAUUAAUUAAAUUAAUGUUCAACUGUAGCCGGUAGCAAUGCCGGGUCAUUGGAACCACGAUCAAACCCAUACACCGUACGAAAUGGUAUGGUACUCUGGGGAUGCGUAGCUACCUCUUUGUUAUCCAAUUUUAUUCCUUUAAUCUUUUUCACGGUGCAAUUAUUUUGUCUCUACCAAAAAAUACAGAAGAAAAUCUCUCCAAUUUUAAAUAUUUUAUGCUUCGCUUUAUCGAUAUUUGGGAUAAUGUAAAACCAUAAAAACUAUUCAAUGAACUUCUUUGCCAUUGGAUGAGUUUGGUUCGUAACGAGGAACAAAAACGAGCGUGAACGAAAUCAAUAGUUGUUGCUGAUUUUCAGCACGUACGACAACAAAUUUUCGAGCUUCCCUUUCCCCCUGCGACGCCGAUGUUGCGAAUAUUUGCAAAAGCACGUUUAGCAAGAAUACCAGCGUAGCACCGAGAAACGAUGAUAAGGGGUGAGAACCGGAGGACGUUAAGUUUAGAAACAAGCACGAUCGUAAAAGUUGCAAACUUGAAGCUGCGCUGGUCGACGAAGCGAAAAGCGGACGAGACUGGUACUAAAUAUGAAUCAUAAAAGAAGCAUAAAGAUAAUUGUAUGCUAAUAGGCAGAGCGUAUGCGCCACGUCGCCCAGAACAGCUCAACAUCUCCCGUUAUUACCUACGUAGCUGCGUUAUACCACCCACACACACGAAUCUUCACUGUUUCUCACCGUACAAUUUCCGUGAUACGACGUUGACACGAGCUAAUUUCGUGUGAUCAAGUUUUGCGAAAGGAGCCACGCGGAAAAAAGAACAUAUAACCUGUUAUACCUUGUCCCUAUUUCAUUUAAGAACCAUUCUUUCAUCUUUUUAUUUUACAUUUGCUUUCAUCUUCUUCUAUAAUACUUUUGAUGUUGAUGAUCAAAUUCCUUUAUGAUACACUAUUUUUUCUUGCUACUUUCAAAUGCGUUAAACUUUAAUAGAUUUUAGGCAUUGUUUUAAGCUGAUUGAACGAUCAUUAAUAAGAAUAAUAGAGAUGGUACUAAAAAUAAAUCGAGCAAACUGAUUUUAAUUCAAAUUAAUUCAAUUGUUCAUUCAAAUUAUUCGAACGAUCAAUUUCGCUGAAAAGGUCAUUCUCGAAAUUGUAGAAAAUUUCGAUGGAACCGUGCAAAGUUCCAAACGAGUUCUCGAAUUAAUAUAUCGAAAAAGAGAAUCAAGAAUUGAAUUUAUUACUCGGAACAAAAUUCUCAACUACCAACGAAUAAUUUGCUGUCGUCUCUUAAAAUCAAGAGAACAAUGAAAAAGUUGAGAAUAGAAAGGAAUGGAUAAACGAGGCAGUGACCGGGAAUGUGUGGAGUGUGGUUUUUCACGAGCUCGUGAAUUGAGAACCGGAAAAUCAAGAAGGAUCUUCUUGACCGUGUCGCCGACUUUUACAGUCGAUCGUCCCGAGAGCUUUUACGAGCCUUGACGAGAAAGUACCGUCACGAUGUGUAAACCAUGAGCCUUUUCGACAGCCGCUCGAGCCUUUGAAGCUCUCCUUUUCUUUCGACGCUGAACCUAAAGGAAUGGAAAAUGGAGCAGCCAAGGACAGCCUUGACAAUAUUCCUUUCAAAGCUCGAGAGUAGCUUUUAAACAAGCUAACUCGAAUAUUUUCAAGCGGUUGAAUGUCAGCCUUCAAGAUUUAUUUGAUAAUACUAUUGUAAUAAAAUGAAAAAAAAUACUGAACGAAUAAGUGAUAUUGUUCGUUAGUCAGAAUUUAACGAUGCAAGUUUUAGAAUGAAUUUGAUAGAAAUACUAAGCACUUAUACAGAGUACAAGAACAAUAACAGUUAGAUAACAAGCGACCCUUUGUCUCACCGCAAACGAUCCAGAAUAAGGAAGGUACCUAAUCGAAUUUUGCAAAACUUGUUAUGAACUGAUUUGCCACGGUGCUUCCUUUGAAGGUGCACUCGCUUGCAAAAUACCGAAGUGAGAACCGCACAGACAAUUAAAGAUGAACAAUGCAACGCGGUACAGUCAUUGAUGUUCUCGAAGCUAUGCCCGGGCUGAAGGUUCGGUCACCUGUACUUCCUCUCCGAUUCACUGGCCGGAGAACCCUUCAAAUUCCCGGGCUUAAGUUUCCGGCUGCAAUUUUGUGUUCCGGCCGGAGUGGCACGAAGACAGGCACGGCCGACUAUAAUAAAAGUAAGGUAAAGGGAAAACUGCCACUUUGUCCUCAAAGCGUGGAGCGCGACGUCACGUGCAACCAAUAGCCACAGGCAAGCUUUAUAGGAACAAACGAGGCCACUUUAAUUUACGAAACUUGCUCGACAUGCACGUCCAGGGGACAUUGAUUUACUAACGUACCAGAGACUAAGCGAAGUGAUUCGACAGGAAAACCGAACAGACAUCGGAGGAUCGUGUGCGUGAGCUACCUACAAAGGAUACUAGCGGCUCUGUGAUCGGAAGCUGUCAAUAUUUGUCUAUGUCCGGUAACCGAGUAGCGAGCGAUGAACCGUAACGUCAUCAAUUAUCUCUUACAUACCACUGGUCAAGCCUGAUGUCAAAUUUCGUCUGUUUCCUGCCCCAUGCACGAUGCCACGAUUGCAGACCUCACGUGCCACUAUCCACCCUCUUUCCCUUCCCUCAUUCUCUUUCUCUCUAUCCCACCUAUUCGCUCUCCAUUGUCCCUCUUUCU